AGAGGAUUUAGUAAUAUGUAAAAUAAGGGUGGUUUUGCUGUAAAAAUAUGAUAGGGCCGCAAUUCAGAAAUGUUUUCAAGCAUCUGGGGCAUUGCUAUGGUUACAACUACAGGCCUACGAAGUCAGUUUUCCACAACAUUUGGGAAGAUUUACAAGGUAUACUCCAUUUAGGCAAAAAUAACUGUCAGGGAAUAGUCAUUGUCAAGAGCAGUUUGUAUUGCAACCCACAAAUUAUACCUCUAUGUCGGUCCAGAAAUCCUUCAAUUUACCAAGAGAUUAUGUUUGAAAAUCUUAGAAAAAAUAAACGAUCCUGAAAAACUAAGUAGUAGGACCAGCUUUACAGACCAGUGGGAGAUCCAGGCUACAGGGAGAACACAUGGAAUUCCAGAAUCAUGAACCAUCUGGAAGGGGCUGAGGACACAUAUGAAGUACAGUCUAAAGCUUCAGGAUCAAUUUUGGGAGCCAGAUGUUCUUCAUUUAACGGCAAAAGACCAGAGGAUCAAGGUAACUGAAAAAUACAGCACAGCCCAGAUCCAGAGAAUGAACUGGGAGCUCUUACUUAGAAAUAAGACUCAAUCUCUGAAAGUUCCACUAUACCUUCAAAGCUGUGCCAACCUAAAUCUACCUGAAGUUUCUGUUUCUUUAUUUGAUAUUCUAGGCAGAGUUAGAGCUAGAGAAAGAAAACUGUUUUCUGAGUUAGGUGGAUCAAACCAAUCUUUGGUUAACCAUUUAAGUCACUCAUUUCUUUGCACUUGGCUGUUUUAUUUCCCCUGUUUCCUACCAUAAUUUCCAUUUGAAAUGUUUAAAUUCUCUUUUGACUCUUUUUAGGAGAAAAGGUAUGUUUUCCAACUAUACUUCAGCCAUCAUGAGUUGGUGUCAGAGAUCAGCUAUAAUGGCAGUGACAGCAAACUAGCUCAAGAACCUGGAGCUUUUGGGUAGGGAGAUAGAAUGAAAACCCAAAAGGAAACCUUCUUUCUUAGACUAUACCUUAAAUCAGAUUUUCUCAGUGCUUUUUGUCUCUCCCUAUAGUACCAGUUUAAUGUCAAAUAACUGCUCUUUCACUGAUUAACCAAAUGUAUCAAAAAUUUUUUUAAGAUUGUCACCAUGGUUCUUUUUUUUUUUUUUUUUUUUUUUUUUUGAGACGGAGUCUCGCUCUGUUGCCCAGACUGGAGUGCAGUGGCGCAAUCUUGGCUCACCGCAACCUCCGCAUCCCGAGUUCAAGCAAUCCUCCUGCCCCAGCCUUCCGAGUAGCUGGGACUACAGGCGCAUGCCACCACACCCGGCUAAUUUUUGUAGUUUUAGUAGAGACGGGGUUACACUAUGUUAGCCAGGCUGGUCUCAAACUGCUGACCUUGUGAUCCACCUGCCUCGGCUUCCCAAAGUGCUGGGAUUAUAGGCAUGAGCCACCACGCCCGGCCAUCACCAUGGUUUUUAUAUUUUUUAUUUGUAAAUAAGAUUUCUAAGAUAAUUUUCCACAGUUUCAGGACUCAAUGGAUUUUAUUUUCAUUACAAUAUAGCAAAAAUAGUAAGCAACAGACUUUUAUUGCUAAUAAUACUUAGUAAAAAUGGAAAUGUGUCAAUGCUUUGCUUAUUUCAUGAAGUCAACACAUUUGUUCACAAUAUGCUUUGCUGUGACUAUUUUCAAAGAAAAUACAUCUGAGGUUAGACUGCUGGAAAUUUUAAAUAAUCCAAUUGUAUGACAGCAUCUUAGGAUGGGUAGAAAGUACCAAACAUUGGCCGGGUGCAGUGGCUUAUGCCUGUAAUCCCAGCACUUUGGGAGGCCAAGGCAGGAGGAUCACUUGAGCCCAGGAGUUCGAGACCAACCUGGGCAAUAUGGUGAAACCCCAUCUCUGCUAUUAAAAUAAAUUUUAAAAAUAUAUUUAAAAA